rnacentral:misc_RNA from 1 species
CAGUCCCACCAGUUGAUCCACCACCAUGUGCACCUGCCCCAGCUGACCGACCGCCACUUGUACCUCCAUGGGCAAAUUUGCUGCCAUUUACUAUACCACUUCUUCCACUGCUAUCACCAUCAUCAUUGAUUUUGUCUUCAUGUCUGCCUGUAAGUCCAACAUUACGCUUCUGCAGAGAAUCUAUUAUUGAAUAUUGUUAGUCUGCCUUGUUAAACAAUAGGGUUAUGAAAAUGAAUAAUUUGGCCUAAGUAUCAAUGACAAGUCACAGAAAAUCAUGAUAUUGCAAGUCAGAUUAUCACAGAAGAAGUUAUUAAGUUCAUAUUGAGUGUAAGAAAUAUUUCUCCACCUUUUGCAUUGACAAAUGUCUUAGUUAUUGCUUUGAAAGUUUCAAAGUUCAGUAUAGAUAGCCAAACAAUUUGCAAAACGAAUUUGAUUACGUAGUGAUAAUGUAAAGAUUUUUAUGUAGGAAUCAAGAAUUUGGCAACUUCCAAAUGGGCAUAAUGAAUGGAUACCUUAUAAGUGGCUAAUGAAAAUUGACAAAGUUAAAAAAGUUAUUCUUAUGCAUCUUUUACAGUAAGAAAUCCAAGAUUUCAGAAUAUAAAUAAUUCAUAUUCGAUAAAAAGCUUUCUUGAUUUUCGUACAAAUUUCACUUGACUAAGUUUCAUUACUGUGAAGAACAUUUGCUUAAUGGCUAAAAAAUCUCACAGAAUCAAGAAAGUGACUCAUUGAAAGUUUCGAAUACAGUUCUUUAGCUAUUAGGAAUUUAGAAUUUUACAAGAAUUUAGUUCGAUUCAUUUCUUUUUCGUCAAUUUUCAUGUUUGAAAUAAAAAAUUUAAUUCUUUUUAAUCUUUAA